UACGGAGGGUGCAAACGUUGCUCGGAAUCAUUGGGCGUAAAGCGCACGUAGGUGGCAUGUUAAGUCGGGUGUGAAAUCCCUGGGCUCAACCCAGGAAGUGCACUCGAAACUGGCACGCUUGAGUACUGAAGAGGGUCGCGGAAUUCCCGGUGUAGAGGUGAAAUUCGUAGAUAUCGGGAGGAACACCAGUGGCGAAGGCGGCGACCUGGGCAGAUACUGACACUGAGGUGCGAAAGCGUGGGGAGCAAACAGG
rnacentral:rRNA from 1 species